AGUAAUACAGUAUUUUGGAUUGAUAUGAUCCCAAAAUAUUGAAAUUAAAACAAACUGAUUUGAUGUUAAAUUCUUGUGUUUCUCAGAAACCGAUAAUGGGAUUACCUAUAGCUGACAUUUUAAUCGCAGAGAUCAAGGCAAAUUGUGAUUUAUUCGAAACAUGGGCUAUCUUAUCUAAUCGGACCUUUGAAGAUACGCUACGCCCAGUCGAGUGGGAUAAUCAUUGAUUUCCAUGACGGGGCGGAACCCAUUCUUGAAUCGAAGUUGAACCUAUUGGACAGGCGGAACUGUGCCCGUAACACCUAUGGCAUAAAUUUGAAAAGGAAUUGCCGCAUUAUAUACAAUAAGCGACGAAUUACCACAAAAAAGCUAUCCAUAGGAAAAAUAAAAAAUAAACGAUUGGCAACAGUGAAAAUCGAUUGGAGAAUAGCCCUCGUAUUUUUCUCCUUUAAAGCGAUAAAAGCGUUUAUCAAUCCCCAAAAUAUUUCCAUAAUCUAUUAAUAUUAUUUGUGAAUCAUUUGGCUAUUAUCAUUUCGUUGUUCAUCAAAAUUCUGCUUACUGUUCGACCACCAGGUGUCCUGAAAUAUUUUGCUUAUUUGCUGUUUUAAUUUAAUUAAA